UACGGAGGGUGCGAGCGUUGUCCGGAAUCACUGGGCGUAAAGGGCGCGUAGGCGGCGCGGGAAGUCCGUGGUGAAAGCCCGAGGCUCAACUUCGGGUCGGCCAUGGAUACUCCUGGGCUCGAGCACUGUAGAGGCAGGUGGAAUUCCGGGUGUAGCGGUGGAAUGCGUAGAGAUCCGGAAGAACACCGGUGGCGAAAGCGCUCUGCUAGGCCGCAACUGACACUCAUGGACGAAAGCUAGGGGAGCGAAUGGG
rnacentral:rRNA from 1 species